rnacentral:tRNA from 1 species
AGGGCUAUCGCCAAGCGGUAAGGCACAGGACUUUGAUUCCUGUAUUCGUGGGUUCAAAUCCCACUAGUCCUG